rnacentral:rRNA from 1 species
UAACUGACGCCACGCUUCCAGGAAAAGCCUCUAAGCUUCAGGUCACAUUGGACCGUACCGAAAACCGACACUGGUGGGCGAGCAGAUAAUCUGCCAAGGCGCUUGAGAGAACUCGGGUUAAGGAACUCUGCAAAUUGAUACCGUAACUUCGGAAGAAGGUAUGCCUUCGAUGGUGAAAGGACUUGCUCCUCUAGCUAUUGAAGGUCGCAGGUAAUCGGUGGCUGCAACUGUUUAUCAAAAACACAGGACUCUGCGAACACGUAAGUGGAAGUAUAGGGUCUGACGCCUGCCCGGUGCCGGAAGGUUAAUUGAUGGGGUUAGCCGCAAGGCGAAGCUCUUGAUCGAAGCCCCGGUAAACGGCGGCCGUAACUAUAACGGUCCUAAGGUAGCGAAAUUCCUUGUCGGGUAAGUUCCGACCUGCACGAAUGGCGUAAUGAUAGCCACACUGUCUCGACCCGAGACUCAGUGAAGUUGAAAUCGCUGUGAAGAUGCGGCGUUCCCGCGGCAAGACGGAAAGACCCCGUGAACCUUCACUACAGCUUUACACUGAACUUUGAACCUUCUUGUGUAGGAUAGGUGGGAGGCUAUGAAGUCUGGGCGCUAGCUCGGAUGGAGCCAACCUUGAAAUACCACCCUGGAAUGUUCGGAGUUCUAACCUUGUCCCGUAAUCCGGGAUGGGGACAGUGUAUGGUGGGUAGUUUGACUGGGGCGGUCUCCUCCCAAAGAGUAACGGAGGAGUGCAAAGGUACGCUCAGCGCGGUCGGUCAUCGCGCUCUAGAGUGCAAAGGCAUAAGCGUGCUUAACUGCGAGACGGACAUGUCGAGCAGGUACGAAAGUAGGUCUUAGUGAUCCGGUGGUUCUGUAUGGAAGGGCCAUCGCUCAACGGAUAAAAGGUACUCCGGGGAUAACAGGCUUAUUCCUCCCAAGAGUCCACAUCGACGGAGGAGUUUGGCACCUCGAUGUCGGCUCAUCACAUCCUGGGGCUGUAGCAGGUCCCAAGGGUAUGGCUGUUCGCCAUUUAAAGUGGUACGCGAGCUGGGUUCAGAACGUCGUGAGACAGUUCGGUCCCUAUCUGCCGUGGGCGUUGGAAACUUGAGGGUGAGCUGUCCUUAGUACGAGAGGACCGGGAUGGACGUAUCUCUGGUGUUCCGGUUGUCACGCCAGUGGCACUGCCGGGUAGCUAUAUACGGACGGGAUAAGCGCUGAAAGCAUCUAAGCGCGAAGCCCCCCCCAAGAUUAGGUUUCCCUGGGAACUCGAUUCCCCUAAAGGGCCGUCGAAGACUACGACGUUGAUAGGCUGGGUGUGUAAGUGCAGCAAUGCAUUGAGCUAACGAGUACUAAUUGCCCGUGAGGCUUGACCGU